GAGCUUGUAGCUCAGUGGAGAGAGUGCAUGGCUACGAACUAUGAGGUCAAGGGUUCAAGUCCCUUCUUGCUCA
rnacentral:tRNA from 1 species